rnacentral:rRNA from 1 species
UACAGAGGUCUCAAGCGUUGUUCGGAUUCAUUGGGCGUAAAGGGUGCGUAGGCGGUGCGGUAAGUCGGGUGUGAAAUCUUGGAGCUUAACUCCGAAACUGCAUUCGAUACUGCCGUGCUUGAGGACUGGAGAGGAGACUGGAAUUCCCGGUGUAGCGGUGAAAUGCGUAGAUAUCGGAAGGAACACCAGUGGCGAAAGCGGCUCCCUGGUCCAGAACCGACGUUCAGGCACGAAAGCGUGGGGAGCAAACAGG